rnacentral:lncRNA from 1 species
UUCCACCUGUUCACAAGCGGUUUUGCUGCCCUCACUUGAGCCGUUACGCAGCUCAUUGAGCUCAUGCAAAGCGCUGCGUGGAAGGCUUUAAAACUCUUUUCUCCACGUGGUUCCUGCCAGGCUCGUACAAGUUGAGGUGUUUUCAACAGUUUCAACUCAGCUGAACUGUUACUCAAAGGAUGGAUAUAUUUGUGUUCAUAUACUGGUCGUUUUGGAAAAGUAUGUUACAUUAAGGAAGCAAUCUUCAUUUUCUGUUGUUUUUCGUUGGAGAAGAACUUUCCAUAUUCUUGCAGGCGUAAGUCAUGUAAAUCAUACUAAAACAAGAUCGCUUGGAUUAUUUAAUCUGCCAGAUUGUCCUGAUUGUGGGCAGAAAUAAAAAUUCUGUAGUUGGGUUUCCAGGAAAUAAAUUAUUUACCAGUCUUUGGAUCUACUUCA